GGGGUAAGUCACAUACUCUCAAAAAUAUAGGCUUUUACCUUCUACUUGUUUGACUUAAAAGAAAGAUAAGUAAAUGUUAUUUCGUGUAGUCACACCAAUUUAAGUGGAAUGCAGUGAACACAUGAACUACUUGAAUACAGCGACACCACAGACUAGCGGACCUCAAGUGACGACAGACUGCACGAGUUGUGAAAUUCCACGAGAGCCUCGCAACUGGCGGGUCUUUCACGAUGGAGGAGAUGUCGGAGGAGAUGCUGUGCAGGGAGGAGCCGGUAGAAAGUGAAGAAAACGAGAUCGAGGAGGAAGUUAUUCCGAUCGAGGAAGCCCUGAGCGCUUGGAGCACCGUCCGGAAGUUCUUACAACAGAGAAGCAGGAAGCCCACUGUGAUGCAAGCGUGUCAUCGACUAGACAACGAGAUGUACGAGAUCCUCCGCAAGACCAGGCGCCAGCCGACGAUUCUUAAGAGCUUUGGACUGACAGGUCUGCAUCUCUCUCAGCUCGCGGCGGCGCGCCUGUAUCGGAGAGGUAGCUCACAGCAGACGACAGUUAACGUGUGUUUUCAGGCUAUUUUUGUCCGGUUCGCGGGAAAAGGUCAAGGCCUUCGCCCGUUGUCUAUAGCAGCACCUGACGUCACAGUCUUACUACGUCUUUAGAGAGCUGCUCGAGGGCUGGUCGCUGCUGGUGAGAAAUUUGUUACCAAGGCGAUGAGUAGAGCGGAGAGUUUUUUGUUUUUGAGAAGACGGCUGGAGUCUGUGCUGUGAGGCAAGGUGCCGGUUGUAUGCUCUGCCACGACUGACCCAAGCUUGUGGGCACUGAGAGGCUGGUUGUACUAGCGAGUUGAUGCCAGCAGUGACCACCGGGACUUGUGGAAAGUGCGGAGGCUGGCGGAAUGACAGCAUUGGGCUGUGACAUCCAGUGUCUACGGGAGUGUGCUUCCGGUUCUUCUCGGGGUGACCGUCGGUCAUUAGCAUAAGCCGUGUGGGUGAGUGCAGAUUUUCCCCAUUGUUAUGUUUGUUUUUGGAUGAGAGGCUGCACACGCCUGAGCAUUAGGAUACGCGAGUAUGUGUUUGCUCCUUCUGAGUUGAUUUUUGUAAGUGUGUAAUUUAGGGCUAUUUCGUGUCUUGGUUUAAGGGGGUCAUGGAGGGGGAUGUUUGGUUAUUUCUUCCUGUAGCCUUUUAGUGACCGUUGUUCUUUUAUUUAUUUCAGGCUUUUUACUGUGUACUAAGCGCCUCAAGCCCCUGUUCUGUGUUAAGAAUUAAAGACUCAGGGGAAACUACGUUUAACUGACU